CCUACGGGAGGCAGCAGUGAGGAAUAUUGGUCAAUGGACGGAAGUCUGAACCAGCCAUGCCGCGUGCAGGAAGACGGCUCUAUGAGUUGUAAACUGCUUUUGUACAAGGGUAAACCUGAAUACGUGUAUUCAGCUGAAAGUACUGUACGAAUAAGGAUCGGCUAACUCCGUGCCAGCAGCCGCGGUAAUACGGAGGAUCCAAGCGUUAUCCGGAUUUAUUGGGUUUAAAGGGUGCGUAGGCGGAUUGAUAAGUUAGAGGUGAAAUGUCCGAGCUUAACUCGGGAACUGCCUCUAAUACUGUUGAUCUAGAGAGUAGAUGCGGUAGGCGGAAUGUAUGGUGUAGCGGUGAAAGGCUUAGAGAUCAUACAGAACACCGAUUGCGAAGGCAGCUUACCAAUCUAUAUCUGACGUUGAGGCACGAAAGCGUGGGGAGCAAACAGGAUUAGAUACCCCGGUAGUC
rnacentral:rRNA from 1 species